GAUGAAGAACGUAGCGAAAUGCGAUACGUAAUGUGAAUUACAAAUUCAGUGAAUCAUCGAGUCUUUGAACGCACAUUGCGCCCCCUGGUAUUCCGGGGGGCAUGCCUGUCCGAGCGUCAUUGCUGCCCUCAAGCACGGCUUGUGUGUUGGGCCCCGUCCUCCGAUCCCGGGGGACGGGCCCGAAAGGCAGCGGCGGCACCGCGUCCGGUCCUCGAGCGUAUGGGGCUUUGUCACCCGCUCUGUAGGCCCGGCCGGCGCUUGCCGAUCAACCCAAAUUUUUUAUCCAGGUUGACCUCGGAUCAGGUAGGGAUACCCGCUGAACUUAAGCAUAUCAAUAAGCGGAGGA
rnacentral:misc_RNA from 1 species